AACGGCCAUACCAUGCUGAAUAUACCUGUUCUCGUUAGAUCACCGAAGUCAAGCAUCAUUGGGCGCUUGAGUGGGUGACCACCUGGGAACACCGCGUGCCGUU